GACUCUGGAGAAUCUCUUAAGUGAGUGCCGAAGGUGCAAGGGUAAAACCGAAUCUCUCAGGCAAAAGGAUAGAGUAU
rnacentral:ncRNA from 1 species